rnacentral:rRNA from 1 species
GGAUUGAAGGCUGAAAUUCGCCUUCAUGAAGCCGGAAUUGCUAGUAAUGGCAGGUCAGCAUACUGCCGUGAAUACGUUCCCGGGCCUUGUACACACCGCCCGUCACACCAUGAGAGUUGGGGAUACCCGAAGCCUGUGAGCUAANAUUAUGAGGCAGCAGUCGAAGGUAGAAUCAAUGAUUGGGGUGAAGUCGUAACAAGGUAAC